CCAAACACGACCCAAACACGACCCAAACACGACCCAAACACGAGGCAAACACGACGCAAACACAACCCAAACACGAGGCAAACACGACCCAAACACGACGCAAACACGACCCAAACACGAGGCAAACACAACCCAAACACGAGGCAAACACGACCCAAACACGACCCAAACACGACCCAAACACGAGGCAAACACGACCCAAACACGACCCAAACACGACCCAAACACGAGGCAAACACGACCCAAACACGACCCAAACACGACCCAAACACGAGGCAAACACGACCCAAACACGACCCAAACACGAGGCAAACACGACGCAAACACAACCCAAACACGAGGCCCAAACACGACCCAAACACGACGCAAACACGACCCAAACACGAGGCAAACACGACCCAAACACGAGGCAAACACGACCCAAACACGACCCAAACACGACCCAAACACGAGGCAAACACGACCCAAACACGACCCAAACACGGGGGAAACGGGGGAAACGGUAUCAGAAGGAGGCUAAAGAGAAGUGCUGACUCUUAUUGACUUCUCCGUGCUUCUACACCUGCAUUGCUUGCUGUUUGGGUCACCCCUCAUAGCCUGGUUCCUCUCUAGGUUUCUUAUUAGGUUUUGGCCUUUCUAGGGAGUUUUUCCUAGCCACCGUGCUUCUACACCUGCAUUGCUUGCUGUUUGGGGUUUUAGGCUGGGUUUCUGUACAGCACUUUGAGAUAUCAGCUGAUGUAUGAAGGGCUUUAUAAAUACAUUUGAUUUGAUUUACCUGCCUAGCUAAAUCAAUACGAAUAAUAUAGACAAGCAGGAUGCAUAGAUAACAUAGAUAACAUAGAAGAACAACAUUUAGUGGAGCCAACGAUACAGUUUUUUUAAUGGAAGGCUUGAAUACAGUACACAGCCCAUAUGCAUAGAUAACAUAGAUACCAUAGAUAACAUAGAUAACAUAGAACAACAACAUUCGUUACAUUGUAAUCCCACAACUAAACCGGUAUUCUACGCAUUUUUCUACAUACCCUCAGAAAGCUUCUGGUGAAGAGUAGACAGACAUUCAUUGGAGCUCUCCGUAGGAUUCGAUACGAUUGGCUUAGGAGCAGCUCUCCGUAGGAUUCGAUACGAUUGGCUUAGGAGCAGCUCUCCGUAGGAUUCGAUACGAUUGGCUUAGGAGCAGCUCUCCGUAGGAUUCGAUACG
ensembl:lncRNA